GACGAACGCUGGCGGCGUGCUUAACACAUGCAAGUCGAACGGAAAGGCCCUGCUUUUGUGGGGUGCUCGAGUGGCGAACGGGUGAGUAACACGUGAGUAACCUGCCCUUGAAUUUGGGAUAACUUCAGGAAACUGGGGCUAAUACCGGAUAGGAGCUCCUGCUGCUCGGUGGUGGUUGGAAAGUUUCGGCGGUUGGGGAUGGACUCGCGGCUUAGCAGCUUGUUGGUGGGGUAGUGGCUUACCAAGGGUUUGACGGGUAGCCGGCCUGUGAGGGUAACCGGCCACAUUGGGACUGAGGUACGGCCCAGCCGCCUACGGGAGGCAGCAGUCGGGAAUAUUGCACAAUGGGCGGAAGCCUGAUACAGCAACGCCGCGUGCGGGAUGACGGCCUUCGGGUUGUAAACCGCUUUCGCCUUUGACGAAGCGGGAGUGACGGUAAUGGGUAAAGAAGCACCGGCUAACUACGUG
rnacentral:rRNA from 1 species